UACAGAGGGUGCAAGCGUUAAUCGGAAUUACUGGGCGUAAAGCGUGCGUAGUCGGUUAUCUAAGUCGGAUGUGAAAUCCCCGGGCUCAACCUGGGAAUUGCAUUCGAUACUGGAUAGCUAGAGUUCGGCAGAGGGAAGCGGAAUUUCGGGUGUAGCGGUGAAAUGCGUAGAUAUCCGAAGGAACAUCAGUGGCGAAGGCGGCUUCCUGGACCAGAACUGACGAUCGAGGCACGAAAGCGUGGGGAGCAAACAGGG
rnacentral:rRNA from 1 species